rnacentral:lncRNA from 1 species
CGAUUCUUACACCGAUGUCAUUUCAUUUUACAGUUCUUACGCGUUUGUCUUUUAUUUUCCGAUUCUUACACUGUCUGUCUUUUUUUAGGGUUCUUACAUCAUUUUUCUUUUUAUUUUUUGGUUCUUACACCACCUGUCUUUUUUUUUUACAGUUCUUACAUCGUUUACCUUUUAUUUUACGGUUCUUACAUUGUUUGUCUUUUAUUUUACGGUUCCGACACCACUGUCAUUUUAAUUUACAAUUCUUACACCGUUGUUCUUUUAUUUCAUGGAUCUUACACAGUUUAUCAUUUCAUUUUCUAUUUCUCACACCGCUGUCAUUUCAUUUUAGGAUUCUUACAUUGUUCGUCAUCUAGCUUUACGGUUCUUAUACCACUGUCACUACUUUUGGGUCUUACAUCAUUUUUCUUGCCAAUGAUUAUUUAUUUAGCAUUGGUUCUUAUACUGAUGACAAUUGAAUUUUUUAUGUCCCUAACAUGGGGUGACAUUCGUACAGGCCUGGCAACACG